ACGUAGGUGGCAAGCGUUGUCCGGAAUCACUGGGCGUAAAGCGCGCGCAGGCGGCUGCGUAAGCCGGUCGUGAAAUCCCCGGGCUUAACCUGGGAAUUGCGAUCGGGACUGUGCGGCUAGAGUGUUGGAGAGGGCAGCGGAAUUCCAGGUGUAGCGGUGAAAUGCGUAGAUAUCUGGAGGAACAUCAGUGGCGAAGGCGGCUGCCUGGCCAAACACUGACGCUCAGGUGCGAAAGCGUGGGGAGCAAACAGGA
rnacentral:rRNA from 1 species